GACGAACGCUGGCGGCGUGCCUAAUACAUGCAAGUCGAACGAACAGACCCUGCUCUUGUGCCUUUCUCGUUAGCCGAACGGGUGAGAGUAACACGUGUAUCCUCCCCCUAACAUUCUGAUAUCUUUACGAAACUCCGGCUCAAAUCCCAUAGAAUCUCCUGAACCGCGUGGUUCGUUAGUAAAAUUCGGCUGUUCGGUAACUACUCGAUGCUUACGCGCUGGUUUAGCUAGUAGGUACGGUAACGGCUUAUUAAGGCGACGAUGCGUAAACGACGGGAGAGGGUGAUCGGCGACACUGGAACUGAGACACGGUCCAGACUCCUACGGGAGGCAGCAGAAGGGAAUCGGCCGCAAUGGGCGAAAGCCUGACGGAGCAACGGCGCGUGAGUGAUGAAGGUCUCGGGAUCGUAAAACUCGGCUAUUAGUUAAGAACAAAUGUGUAAGGAACUAUGCACGUCUUGACGGUAACGAAUCAGAAAGCCACGGCUAACUACGUG
rnacentral:rRNA from 1 species